UUUUUAAUGGCGUCCUGUUGAGAGAAGAAUGUGAAACAGCAUUGGAAGGAACGUCGAGGUCAUCUCCUUGUCCUCCUACGCCGAUGAAAGAAUCUUUCUUCACAAGAUCUGUAGGUAAAGGAGGCUUUACGUGUUAUCGAUGCUCACUACUCCACGCCCCAGGAUGCAGGGGGUCAGAAUCAGACGUGCUGGGUUGACAGCAACACAAAGUCUACCACCCAGUCAACUUCCAAACCCCUGCCUUGAUUAGAUGAAAAGAUGACAUCAGUAUUCGCAGUAAACAGCUUUCUGCUGGACGCAGUCAGCGCACGGGGAGAAAUCUGGCAUCGCUUAAUUAUCAGCCGUCGUCUUCCGCGGACUGAAGCCAAACAGGCAUCGCUCUAGCCUCACCUCCUACACAUGCCAGGAAAACUUGAAAUUCGGAGUGAAAUAGUUAUUCAGCCUCCACCAUGUCUUCCUUCACAGCAUGCCACGUACACUCCUUUUUCUGAAGAUGUGUGCAGUGGUCUCUUUCAAGCACAGUCUUCCUGCCAUAACGGCUAACCUUCUGAUUUCCGAGUCGCCCCUGCUCCUUUCCAUGGGGCCUCUGUGGUCCCCAGGCAUGGUCAAUGCCAAGAGUCUGUGCAAAGCGACACUCAUCAUCCAUCUUCUUGAGAAGUAGAAUCACUGUGUAUUAUUUUCAAUUAAACAUGUUUAGCUCAUUGCUAUAUGAUUACUGCAAAACACAAUACUUAAUGCAAAACUAAAGUGUCUACACUACACUACAACUCUGAUCAAAUCUACAGCUAUUUGACUUACAGCAUAUGGUCAGUAAGGAAAAAGCUAUAAAAGAGCAUCCAGACUAUGUACGUUCUUCCCAUGUCCAGUCACUGGCCCCACCGACAGGGAGCCUGGUGGCCGUGUGACACCUCGCUGGUCUACGAAAUGCAUGGCAGGAGCAUAAGGUGGAGUUUGGCUUCCACCAUCAGAAAAGCUUAGCUGCCCCCUAACUGCCUGUGUCCAGGCUCACCGGUCUACAGGGGACAGUGCGUGCUGCCCCUCCGACGGGGGCACCGAUCCAUUCCAUCCAGCAAAUGCAGGAGCAAUUUAUCCCAGCUCGUUGCUCGGAUUUAGAAACAUCUUAAAGUAAGAAUUCCGUUCAACGGUGCUGUGACAGUCAAGACCAUGGAAGGGACUAGAAAUGCAAAGCGAAGUUUUGCCAAAUUCAUCCGUGUGAACAGAAUUCAACGAUUAAUAAUUAUAUUUCAUUAAGGAUAAAUAGUCUGAGAUAUAAUUUAAAUGGAAGGGGCCAUGAAACAACCAAGGGAAAGGGACCUUCGUGGGGACACGGGCAUCCAACCACCCAGAUUUUGUGCAUAUUUUCAAAGAAGCAACUUUUCCCUCUGUUGCUUUUCUGUCAGAGCUUUUCAUUUCUACGCCCAGCGUCGUCUUUUUGUUUUCCUGGGAUUUAUUUUAUUUUUUUCAUGACUAUUUACUUAAUUUAGACAUUUUGCUCAUUAUUUUCAGCUUUACUAUCUCUUAAUAAAAAUUUAUAGGACUAUACAUUUCAUUUAAA